rnacentral:rRNA from 1 species
AUUGAACGCUGGCGGCAUGCCUUACACAUGCAAGUCGAACGGCAGCGCGGGAGCAAUCCUGGCGGCGAGUGGCGAACGGGUGAGUAAUAUAUCGGAACGUGCCCAGUAGUGGGGGAUAGCCCGGCGAAAGCCGGAUUAAUACCGCAUGAGACCUGAGGGUGAAAGCGGGGGAGUCGCAAGACCUCGCGCUAUUGGAGCGGCCGAUGUCAGAUUAGGUAGUUGGUGGGGUAAAGGCUCACCAAGCCGACGAUCUGUAGCUGGUCUGAGAGGACGACCAGCCACACUGGGACUGAGACACGGCCCAGACUCCUACGGGAGGCAGCAGUGGGGAAUUUUGGACAAUGGGCGCAAGCCUGAUCCAGCCAUGCCGCAUGCAGGAAGAAGGCCUCGGUUGUAA